rnacentral:lncRNA from 1 species
GAUAUCGUCGAGGACGGCUGCCUUGCACGAGUCGCACUGGAAGCAUAGCGUUUCCUGCUGGUUGCUCCACCUGCCGCAGUCGUCGCUGUUGUUAGUUGGGCCGGCGCCUUGUGUUGGUGUCCACGUCGUCUGAUUCACGUACGUGAAUGCACACGAUAAUGGUGGUUUGCAGCAUCCUGACUGUCCAUAUGCAAUCACAGGAUGAGGUCAGAUCAGAGUAUUCCAGUACUUAACAUACACAAAAAAAAGACGUGGAAACAAGCGAUGAGAUAGAGGAAGCAUGCACACCUGGAUCGGCGAGAGGCCCUGCUCGGAGUAGAGAACGCUUGUGUUUGGGUCGCGUACCAUCGGGCUCGUACCAUCGCAGGCGUGCCUGCGGCGCAGGCACUUGCUGAUUGUGGCCCAGUACCUGGCAUUAGCCAUGCGACGCUUGAGCGAACCGCCGUAGUCACUGAGGUUGUACUCGCGGACCGAGUUGACCUCAAUGGGAUCGAUGUCGAUGCCGGCGAUGCCAAAUUUGGACUCCUCAGGCGUGUAACACCCUUGGACCGCCUGCGAUCGCC